rnacentral:rRNA from 1 species
UACAGAGGGUGCGAGCGUUAAUCGGAGUGACUGGGCGUAAAGGGCGAGUAGGCGGGUAGAUAGGUUAGAUGUGAAAGACAUGGGCUCAACCGAUGGGUGUCAUCUAAAACGGUAUAUCUAGAGUACAGUAGAGGGGAGUGGAAUUUCCGGAGGAGCGGUGAAAUGCGUAGAUCUCGGAAGGAACACCGGUGGCGAAGGCGGCUUGCUGGGCCAGUUCUGACGCUGAGGAGCGAAAGCGUGGGGAGCGAACAGG